rfam:Apis mellifera strain DH4 linkage group 9, whole genome shotgun sequence.
UGCAUAUAAUGAUGAAAGCAUAGUUCAAUUGAUUUGCAGUGAAAAAUAUUAAAAAUGUCUUUCGCUCCUAUCUGAUAAAAUAA